GACGAACGCUGGCGGCGUGCCUAAUACAUGCAAGUAGAACGCCGUUGCGAACGCGUGAGUAAAGCGCAGGUAACUGCCUCAUAGCGGGGGAGAACUAUUGGAAAAGAUAGCUAAUACCGCAUACUGUGAGAUGGCCCUGCGUUGUAUUAGCUAGUUGGUGAGGUAAAGGCUCACCAGGGCGACGAUACAUAGCCGACCUGAUAAGAGGAUCUGCCACAUGGGGACUGAGACACGGCCCAGACUCCUGCGGUAGGCAGCAGUAGGGAAUCUUCAGCAAUGGACGGAAGUCUGACCGAGCAGCGCGGCGUGAGUGAAGACGGUUUUCGGAUCGUAAGGCUCUGUUGUUAGAGAAGCGGUAACGAACCAGAAAGGGACGGCUAACUACGUGCCAGCAGCCGCGGUAAUUC
rnacentral:rRNA from 1 species